CAGCAGCCGCGGGAAUACGAAGGGUGCAAGCGUUAAUCGGAAUUACUGGGCGUAAAGCGUGCGUAGGCGGUGAGUUAAGUCUGCUGUGAAAUCCCCGGGCUCAACCUGGGAAUGGCAGUGGAUACCGGCUCGCUAGAGUGUGUCAGAGGAUGGUGGAAUUCCCGGUGUAGCGGUGAAAUGCGUAGAGAUCGGGAGGAACAUCAGUGGCGAAGGCGGCCAUCUGGGACAACACUGACGCUGAGGCACGAAAGCGUGGGGAGCAAACAGGAUUAGAUACCCCCGUAGUCCCUGUCUCUUAUAC
rnacentral:rRNA from 1 species